GUCUUCGGCCAUGCCACCCUGAACGAGCCCAAUCUCGCCUGAUCUCGGAAGCUAAGCAGAGUCAGGCCUGGUUAGUACUCGGAUGGGAGACCACCUAGGAAGACCAGGUGCUGUAGGCG
rnacentral:rRNA from 1 species